GGAGUUAGCCGGUGCUUCUUCUGUGAGUGAUGUCCUUCCUGCCGGCUAUUAACCCGCAGGCCUUCUUCCUCACUGAAAGUGCUUUACAACCCGAAGGCCUUCUUCACACACGCGGCAUGGCUGGAUCAGGGUUGCCCCCAUUGUCCAAUAUUCCCCACUGCUGCCUCCCGUAGGAGUCUGGGCCGUGUCUCAGUCCCAGUGUGGCUGAUCAUCCUCUCAGACCAGCUACGGAUCGUCGCCUUGGUGAGCCGUUACCUCACCAACCAGCUAAUCCGACAUAGGCUCAUCCGAUAGCGCGAGGCCCGAAGGUCCCCCGCUUUCCCCCGUAGGGCGUAUGCGGUAUUAGCCUGGGUUUCCCCAGGUUAUCCCCCACUACCGGGCAGAUUCCUAUGCAUUACUCACCCGUCCGCCGCUCGCCACCAGGGAGCAAGCUCCCCGUGCUGCCGCUCGACUUGCAUGUGUUAGGCCGUCGCCGCCACGCGUUCAUCUGAGCCGACGGAUACAACUACUGA
rnacentral:rRNA from 1 species